CUCCUCCUGAUCUCUCACUUCCGGGUCGUUGUAUGUGCCGCUAGCAUCCGAGCACAGAUCCGGCGUCUUCACCGCGGUCGAGCCGAUCAGUCGGGGCGGUGUUUAUUGCCGCAACCAGAGCAUUGUGCUGAAGGCCGACGGUGGUGGUGGUGGUUCUCCUGGGUGGUGGUGGUCCUGUGUGCUGUGUGAUCCCUUUUUAAGAUUUUCUUUGUUUACACGUCACCUUUUGCUGUGUGUGUGUGGGGUGUCCUCCUUUUCCUUUUGGAUGUCACUUCCCCUACCAAACCCCUCCUCCAGCCGGUAAGCCUCAGACUACAUCCCCCUUUUAGUUGGGCUCUUUUCUUUUUUUGUGUUACAGUGUCAACCUCAUGAUUGUUUUAAUAAUAAAUUGUUAGACAUGA